UACGUAGGGGGCAAGCGUUGUCCGGAUUUAUUGGGCGUAAAGAGCGUGUAGGCGGCCAAGCAGGUCAGCUGUGAAAACUCGAGGCUCAACCUCGAGACGUCGGUUGAAACCGUAUGGCUAGAGUCCGGAAGAGGAGAGUGGAAUUCCUGGUGUAGCGGUGAAAUGCGCAGAUAUCAGGAAGAACACCCGUGGCGAAGGCGGCUCUCUGGGACGGUACUGACGCUGAGACGCGAAAGCGUGGGGAGCGAACAGG
rnacentral:rRNA from 1 species